UCACUGAGGCUCUAUAAGAGCCACAUGAAUGAAAUAAGUAAUUAUUGAUAUGACAGGAGCAGUGGCUUUGACACCUGGUGGUGGGCGUGUCGAUGUGGGCGUGACGUCAUCAAGUAUGAAUGGGAAGGUGACGCUGCUGGCUGUGUGUGUAGCGGGUGAGCUGGGUGGUCAGUCCUCGCAAAGUUUGGAGCAUGAUAAUCUAAAUGGAAUAAAUCGAUCAUUGUGACAGAACAAAGAAGAGGUUAGGAGUUGAUUGAUACACGGACAGAUGAGAUUCCCAGAGUUAACCCAGUAUCGCUCUCUACCACCAUUAGUUUGCUGUGUUUUAUGAUAAUAAAACGUGUUUAUUACCACAAUCAAGUUUUAUGAAUGCAGGAAAAUCUUCCCGUCACAGCAAGAAUACCUGCUGGGUAGCAGAGCCAUGACUAAGAAGCAUUUCACUGUUUCUUUCAUGAUUAAAUCAUCUGUUUUGCCUUCUGCUUAACAGACCCCAAAAAUAAAAUAAAAACAUAUCUGUAGUUAGGACUUAAACAUUAUUGGAAAAAAAUAAAUAAAAUGAACUUUUGAUGUCUUUUUCUGUUGUAAUAAAUCACCAUGCACAGCACUUAUUGUUUUCACACAACAACAAAGUGUAUUCUGACCAGAUCCUUCCUGCCAACAACCAUUAGCAUUUACAACAACUGUUUGAAGAAAAUGCUACGUCUUUCAUCAUUUAAUUUUCCUCUUGGAUUAACAAAGUAUUUUUGAAUUGAAUCAAAAAUUAUGUGGGUUUCACACACAUUUUUUUUAUUGAUUCUGAUUUGAAUGUUGUGCUGCACUCUUUUUUUUUUUUCUUUUUUUUAGCUAAGAACUGAAUUUCCUCCUAAGACAUUCUGUCCAAACUGGAUUGGAGUCAAAAGCUCAGCUAGCUAGCAAGCAAGUCCUUUUCUUGAACAUUUAACUAGGUAAAUCUAGACACAAACGUCUUAAAUAUGUUUCUACAACUAGACAUUAAAUGUUUUUUGUUUGUUUUUUCCUGAAAAACACCUCUAAGAUGUGUCAUUCUUUGGCUCAAUGUUAAGAAACUUGGCAAGCUAACAAGUGUGAAUUUAGCAUUGGCAUUAUUGCUAAGCUAUUUAAUAUUGGACACAAUAUUAUCUUAAAAUUUGGCCACUAGACAUUCUCCCUGAAAGCUACGGCUGUAUUGUUUGCUAUCCAUGACUGCCUCUGUGUUGAGAAGCUCAGCUUGUUAGCAAUUUUGAUAUUAGCAUUAAUGCUGUCAGUCCAGCUAUUCUGGAUGCAAACCCUAAAUUAUUGCUUCAACAACGGUUCUUAAUUUUGUACUGGACCCUGCACUGAGCCUACUGCUCCAAAUAUAUUCAAAACCAAAUGUUUUUUUGUUUUUUUUUUUCGUUACAGUUUUUGUAACGAAAAUAAAAUUUAACUAUUUAAUUGCUAUUGCACAUUGCAUUAACACACCAAUAUGUCUGUUUAAAAAUAGAAUUAUUUUCACGGUUAAUAUUUAACUUCUUCUAAAAUUUGUUUUUGUGUAAUCCCCAAAAGCAGCCUCACAUUUCAUUUAAAAAAAUAUAAAAUAAAAUAACCAUUAUCCACUGCUACGUUUUUACUUUUAGUCCAGUGUGAUUGAAAAGUGAACAGUGGGUUUUGUCAGACAUAUGGGUGAUGCUGAAUGAUUCAAAUGCACACUCUUCCUCCUUCAUAGAUUAGAUGAUGAAAGUCUGAAAUUAGCUGCCGUUUCUCCACUAGUCGGGUUCUUAUCGUGUUCGUCAUGACAUUGCAAAACCAGACAGCAGAACGGUGAGUGUCUGCUUUCCCUGCUGGCAGGCUGUGGUAGGGAAAUGGUGGGGUCUCCUUGUGUGCGUUCUCGUGAUGCACCAGACUUUUGGGGUCAAAGGUGACGGGAGUGCAGACUGAGAUGCAGACAGAUUUGGUGGCGAUGAGGAGGGUGUGUCCUUUGUAACUCCACCAGCAACAA